GAUGAACGCUGGCGGCGUGCCUAAUACAUGCAAGUCGAGCGAACAGACGAGGAGCUUGCUCCUCUGACGUUAGCGGCGGACGGGUGAGUAACACGUGGAUAACCUACCUAUAAGACUGGAUAACUUCGGGAAACCGGAGCUAAUACCGGAGAAUAUAUUGAACCGCAUGGUUCAAUAGUGAAAGACGGUUUUGCUGUCACUUAUAGAUGGAUCCGCGCCGCAUUAGCUAGUUGGUAAGGUAACGGCUUACCAAGGCAACGAUGCGUAGCCGACCUGAGAGGGUGAUCGGCCACACUGGAACUGAGACACGGUCCAGACUCCUACGGGAGGCAGCAGUAGGGAAUCUUCCGCAAUGGGCGAAAGCCUGACGGAGCAACGCCGCGUGAGUGAUGAAGGUCUUCGGAUCGUAAAACUCUGUUAUUAGGGAAGAACAAAUGUGUAAGUAACUAUGCACGUCUUGACGGUACCUAAUCAGAAAGCCACGGCUAACUACGUG
rnacentral:rRNA from 1 species